CUAUGCGGUGGAGAGAAAAAUCUAGCAGGUGGGUGGCGCCGUCGGUCUGUUUCCCAGCAGAGACGGCUGAAUCCUCCUUGAUUUUAUUAACACUAAAUCUGAUUCCAUUUAAGAACUCGAGAGACCGCAGAAUGUAAAGCAAACAUUUUUUCUCGAGCCGAGCAAAACCCCGGAGAGCCAGAGAUUGUGUCCUCCUGGCAAUACCCAACCCCAGCGCUCUCUAUAAUGUCAACUCUCUAAAUUCCCUCUGGUCUCUUCUCUCACUCACAGGUCCCACUCCCACUAGUCCCAGGACUGAAUCUUUCUACGCACCGGGAUUGAGGCGGAGUGGGAGGGAGAGCCGUAAAAGAGGAAGGAAGGCAGUAAAAUUGAAACAGAGAGAGAGAAAAAGAGAUCCCAGAAUUCAACCCACCCCCUCCUCAGCUUUCCUUUCAGAAUAAUGCUACGCUCUUCCCCCGAGAACAAUAAAAGCAAAGGCCAACUCUACUCGAAAAAGAGAAACCGAUGGGAAUGACUCCGGUCCUGUCCAUCUUCCUCUUCCUCCUCCUUUCCCUCUCCUUGUCUUCCUUAUUAGCCGCAGCGGCGAAUCAAUCAAAAGACGAGGAGACGCCCUUCGUCGGCGUCAACAUCGGCACCGACGUCUCCAACCUUUUCACGCCGGAGGAUCUGGUGGCCUUUUUGAAGUCCCAGCAGAUCACCCACAUCCGGCUCUACGACGCCGACCCGGCCAUCCUCGCCGCCCUCGCCGGCACCGGCAUCCGUGUCGUCCUUUGCGUCCCCAACAACCAGCUGCUCGCCCUGGGCUCCUCCAACGCCACCGCCGUCGCCUGGGUCGCCCGCCACGUCCUCCCAUUCCACCCAUCCACCCUCAUCUCCGCCGUCGCCGUCGGCGACGAGGUCCCUGCCUCCCUCCCGUCCGCCCUUCCCCUCCUCCUCCCCGCCCUCCGCUCCCUCUCCUCCGCCCUCUCCUCCUCCUCGGACCCUCCCAUCAAGCUCUCCACCCCUCUCCCUUUCUCCAUCAUCCUCGACCCCUUUCCCCCCUCCCAGGCCUUCUUCAACCAGACCCUGGCCUCCUCCUUCCUCCUCCCCCUCCUCCAAUUCCUCUCCGACACAGAUUCCCCUCUCAUGCUCAACCUCUACCCCUACUACGCCUUGAUGCAGAGCCGCGGCGCGAUCCCCCUCGACAAUGCUCUCUUUAAACCCCUCCCACCGUCGCUCGAGGAGGUGGAUCCCAACACCCUCCUUCACUACACCAACGUCUUCGACGCCAUGAUCGACGCCGCCUACUUCUCCAUGAAAAACCUCGACGUCACCGAUGUCCCCGUCCUCAUCACCGAGACCGGCUGGCCCUCCAAUGGCUCCCGCAAGGACGAGCCCUUCGCCACCAAGGACGAUGCGGACACCUACAACUCCAAUCUCAUCAAGCACAUCCUCGACCGCUCCGGAACGCCGCUGCACCCAGAGAUCACAUCGAGCGUCUACAUUUACGAGCUGUUCAACGAGGAUUUGAAGCCGGGGCCUGUGUCGGAGGGGAAUUGGGGGCUUUUCUACGGGAACGGGACGCCGGUGUACUUACUUCAUUUGGCGGGUAGCGGCGGGCUCUUGGCGGACGACACGACAAGCAGGACGUACUGCGUGGCGGCGGAGGGGGCCGACGGGAAGGCGCUGCAGGCGGCGCUGGACUGGGCGUGCGGGCCGGGGCGGGCGAAUUGCUCGGAGAUACAGCCCGGGGAGAGCUGCUACGAGCCCAACAAUGUGAGGAGCCACGCAUCAUAUGCAUUUGAUAGUUACUACCAGGAGGAGGGGAAGGUGGCCGGGUCCUGCUACUUCCAGGGGGUGGCCAUGGUCACCACCACCGACCCCGUGAGUAAAGGAAAGGACUAUUUGUUUCUGUGUGCGGGUGUUGAUGGGGUCUGGAGAGGAGAUGGAUUGGUGGAAUUGGAAUCCUUCUGCGUAGCAAAAAAGAGUGGAUUUGAAAGGAGAGGGUACUGAGGGCAAGGAUGAUCCGCUUGGAGGAGCGUCAUGGAUGACAGAGUGAGACCAGAGUACGAGCUGAGGAGUAUGGGCUGGAUGCUGCUGUAAAUUUUGUUUGUUACUCUCAGCUGUCAGAAGUUAUUCGUCAGGACUUUUGGUAAGAAUCUAUAUGCAUAGACCUCCAAAAGAGUGAGUUUUUGUGUUUUUAUUGCUUGUUUCUGAACACAAUGAGAAUGCUUUGGGGUUUUGAUUAGUGGUCUAAUAAACAGGACAUAUUUUCAAUUGACAUUAGUUGGCUACUGGACUGAACAGUUCAAACUUUUAAUGUACACAUAAACCAUCCAAUUCUUUAAUAUCACAUAUAAGUCCUUGUGAUCAUGUGACAUGUUCGGCUUCGGCAUUUUACUAGCUCUAGCGAGAACGAGUAUGCCUGGAAUACUUGUUCCUUAAAGUUAACUUACCAACAGGGUUAAAGUUAACUUACCAACAGGGAGCAUUGUUGGUAGAAUUUCUAUUAACAAUUUGUCAUUGACCAUUGUAUCCUUAUGUAUACCGAUCUUUUGACUCUUAGGAGACCUUCUUCUCUGUCAAAGCCAUCUGCACAUCCAUUCAAUGUUGAAGGCUCUCUUAGUAUUGAUCAUUUAGCAGUGACCAUUCAUGGCCAACCAGAGAAAAUUAUAAGCUUUUCAACAUGAGGGCUUUAUGUGCAGCAUUAAAGAAUUAGAGGUAUCGGAGUGUCAGUUGGGGUAUACUGCCGUGUAAAGAGGUAUUGGAAGAAAGGGGAUUGUUGUAUCAGAACAAUGCAACCUGUGAUCUUUGUGGCAACAUCAAGGAAGAUACCAACCACUGUUUGACCAGCUGCCCUUUUACAGCACAAGUUUGCUUUGAACUUAAAAAACAAAAUUCUGCAAUCCCUGAGUUCACUUCAUUGCAAAAUCUAAUAGAUACUUGUGCUGACCUCCCUUUAUUGGACCAUGAAAGAACUAAAAUCGAAUAUACUGGAUGGUGUAUUUGGAACGCAAGGAAUGGCAGAGUUUUUCAGGGGAAACAGUGCACUGCUAAUCAAAUAACUCAUCUUGUUUUACACCUGGCAUCUGAGUUUUAUGAAGCGACAUUAAAAGAAGCUGGAUCUACUGAUCUGCAGCAGCUGGGCGCCAGCAGCUCCGUGAGAUUGUCACCACUCAGUCCCAGGAUGGUUUGUCGGUUGCACCUCCCUGUGGUGUGGUAAAAGUUAACUUUGAUGCUUCACGGAAGAAAGAUGAGGCAGGGGCAGGAUUUAUCAUCAGGGAUCAUGAUGGUUAUGUAUUAAGAGCUGAGAUAAGGAAACUUAAGCAGCUUUAGUUCCUGAAGCUGAGCUCCGAGCAGCCUGGGAAGGGAUUUUAAUGGCCACUCAACAACUCAAUUAUGCAAGGAUAUGGCUUGAAGGAGAUUCAGCAACAGUUAUCCAGCGGAUCAACAAGUAUUGCAAAGACCCCUUGAAUUCAGAAGCUCAAAUUCAUCCCCUUCUUUUUGACAUUCUUCAUUGUUCAGCUUCUCUGCAGUUUUUCUUUGCUUCCCAUGCUUUUAGAGAAGCAAACCAACCUGCUGGUCUGUUGGCAGGUCUGAAUGCAAACACUGACUUCAAAUCCAUGCUUGCUCUGCCACAACAAAUCAGACACUCUGUGCUGGCUGAUGCAUCAGGAGUUGGUUUCACUAGAUCAUGGGCAAUGCUUCCUUUAGUUUACUUCCAUUUUGUCUGUCUUUUAUUUUUUCUUGGGGUCCUGUUGACCCCCCUAAUGUACCCAAAAAAAAAAAAGAAUUAGAGGUUUUAUAUGCAAAUUGAGAAGAUUUCAAGGACUAACAUGCUGAGAAGGACCUGUUAAUCAGAAAGGUAAGCUGGGUUUGCAGUCAGAAGCUGUGUGCAAUUCCCAAGUCAGAGACAUAACAGUGACAUCUUUGUUGUGAUGGCCACAUGCCCGCAACCAACAAUGUUGUAGACUCGUAACUGCAAUAAGUAGAACGGCGAACUCUUACUGUAGGAAUAAAAUAUUAAUAGGAACGCGCAAUGAUUUUUCUUUUUUUUGAAUUUUUGCUGAGUUGAUACUAAACCAGAUUGUUUUUGGGAAGCUUGAUCAGUUAUUAUCCCAAUUUCCUUUUAGUAGACCACCAGAUUGAAUGGACUUUCUAUCCAUCUAGCCAGCUUAAUUGCCCACAGCCCAACUUUCUUAUAUUCUGGGAUGGUCCUGCUUGUUAUUACCAAUUGCAAAUGGCACUAGCACUGCCAUUAAAAACGGUCUUUUGCUUUGCAUAUAAGGUAUCAUUAUAUGAGUUGCCCCAAUAGUUGCAUUCUCAGGGACUGAUAAUUUCUCACUCUAGCUUUUAGCUGUCAUUUUUGUUCAAACUUUUCAUUUUAUUUCCAUCAUUAUCAUUAUCAUAACUGUUAUUAUUCUUAUUUUUCUGGCUGUACAAGUACUUUGGUUGCUGAGAGACAAAAUUGUGGUUAUUUUUCAGGUCAUGGGGAUUGCAUCUUUCCUGGAAGCAAGCAGGAGAGUAACAUCACCAAGGCAGGAGCCAAUGCUACUCAGGCCAGUAAGGCUGAGGGAUGUACCAGAUUCAGACCAAGAAAUAGAAGGGAUCAGGGCCUCCACAUUCUUUCCAUGAUCACGAGCAUGAUGGUGGUGGUUACAUGAUGACAGCAACAAAGAAGAAUAGGAGUCUGACAAAUUUUCCAGAAGAGUCCAACUGUGUUCAUUCUUUUCAUCAAUUUGGUAAAAGCUCAUGAUUUUUUAUACCUCUUCCUCGUUAUUCAUUUUUGUAAUAUUAUUUACUCUUUUAAUAUUUUUUUUAUUUUUUUGUAUUUAUUUUUACCUUUCAUUUAGUUUUUGAGGGAAAAGAAUAGGAAGCCAGACAGGAAAUCACUCAGAAACUAGUUUGAAGUGUGUUCAUGUGCAUGUGCUUGUUUGUUUCUUGCCAGAUGCCUCAUUUUGAGGAAAUGGAAUUGAAUCUGUUUCCAAUGAA